UACAGAGGGGGCAAGCGUUGUUCGGAAUUACUGGGCGUAAAGGGCGCGUAGGCGGCCUUCUAAGUCGAACGUGAAAUCCCCGGGCUCAACCUGGGAACUGCGUCCGAUACUGGAAGGCUUGAAUCCGGGAGAGGGAUGCGGAAUUCCAGGUGUAGCGGUGAAAUGCGUAGAUAUCUGGAGGAACACCGGUGGCGAAGGCGGCAUCCUGGACCGGCAUUGACGCUGAGGCGCGAAAGCCAGGGGAGCAAACGGG
rnacentral:rRNA from 1 species